UACAGAGGUCUCAAGCGUUGUUCGGAUUCAUUGGGCGUAAAGGGUGCGUAGGUGGCGCGGUAAGUCGGGUGUGAAAUUUCGGAGCUUAACUCCGAAACUGCAUUCGAUACUGCCGUGCUUGAGGACUGGAGAGGAGACUGGAAUUUACGGUGUAGCAGUGAAAUGCGUAGAUAUCGUAAGGAAGACCAGUGGCGAAGGCGGGCUACUGGGCCGAUACUGACGCUGAUGCGCGAAAGCCAGGGGAGCGAACGGG
rnacentral:rRNA from 1 species